rnacentral:rRNA from 1 species
CCGGAUUUAUUGGGCGUAAAGGGCGCGUAGGCGGCCACGCACGUCCGUUGUGAAAUCGCUCGGCUCAACUGGGCGGGGUCAGCGGAUACGGUGUGGCUAGAGCAAGCUAGGGGGCAAUGGAAUUCCCGGUGUAGUGGUGGAAUGCGUAGAUAUCGGGAGGAACACCAGUGGCGAAGGCGGUUGCCUGGAGCUUUGCUGACGCUGAUGCGCGAAAGCGUGGGGAGCGAUCCGG